rnacentral:rRNA from 1 species
CCUACGGGUGGCAGCAGUGGGGGAUAUUGCACAAUGGGGGAACCCUGAUGCAGCGACGCCGCGUGAGGGAAGACGGUUUUCGGAUUGUAAACCUCUGUCUUUGGGGACGAAUUGAGACGGUACCCAAGGAGGAAGCUCCGGCUAACUACGUGCCAGCAGCCGCGGUAAUACGUAGGGAGCAAGCGUUGUCCGGAAUUACUGGGUGUAAAGGGAGCGUAGGCGGGAUAGUAAGUUGAUUGUUAAAACUAUCGGCUAAACUGGUAGAUGCGCUCAAAAAAGCAAUUCUUGAGUGAAGUAGAGGCAGGCGGAAUUCCUGGUGUAGCGGUGAAAUGCGUAGAUAUUAGGAGGAACACCAGUGGCGAAGGCGGCUUACUGGACUGUAACUGACGUUGAGGCUCGAAAGCGUGGGGAGCAAACAGGAUUAGAUACCCUGGUAGUC